rnacentral:rRNA from 1 species
AAUGGGUGCAAGCCUGAACCAGCCAUGCCGCGUGAAGGAUUAAGGUUCUAUGAAUUGUAAACUUCUUUUAUCAGGGAAAAAACCCUUGGACGUGUCCGAGGCUGAUGGUACCUGAAGAAUAAGGAUCGGCUAACUCCGUGCCAGCAGCCGCGGUAAUACGGAGGAUCCAAGCGUUAUCCGGAUUCACUGGGUUUAAAGGGUGUGUAGGCGGAGCAUUAAGUCAGUGGUGAAAUCCUGUCGCUUAACGACAGAACUGCCAUAGAAACUGAUGCUCUUGAAUGUGGUUGAGGUAAGCGGAAUGUGUGGUGUAGCGGUGAAAUGCUUAGAUAUCACACAGAACACCUAUUGCGAAGGCAGCUUGCUAAGCCAUGAUUGACGCUGAGACACGAAAGCGUGGGGAUCAAA